CCUACGGGAGGCAGCAGUGAGGAAUAUUGGUCAAUGGGCUUACGCCUGAACCAGCCAAGUCGCGUGAGGGAAGACUGCCCUAUGGGUUGUAAACCUCUUUUGUCAGGGAGCAAUUGGCGCUACGUGUAGCGUUAUCGAGAGUACCUGAAGAAAAAGCAUCGGCUAACUCCGUGCAAGCAGCGGCGGUAACACGGAGUAUGCGAGCGUUAUCGGGUUUGAUUGGGUUUAAAGGGGGCGUAGGCGGAAUGCCAAGUCAGCGGUAAAAUCGCGGGGCUCAACCUCGCUCCGCCGUUGAAACUGGCGGGCUGGAGUGGGCGAGAGGUAGGCGGAAUGCGUGGUGUAGCGGUGAAAUGCAUAGAUAUCACGCAGAACUCCGAUUGCGAAGGCAGCAUACCGGAGCCCAACUGACGCUGAAGCACGAAGGCGUGGGUAUCGAACAGGAUUAGAUACCCCAGUAGUC
rnacentral:rRNA from 1 species